AGGUGGGUGCGAGGUCGAAAGUCGCGUAGGUGAGCGCCUGGAAGGUAUAUAUAUAGGACCAGGGGGAGGAGCACGGGAAAUUGAGGCGUGGUUCAUAUCCCAAAAUUUUGUUAAUUCUUAACAACACUUUGCUAUAAUGAACCCCGCCUACGCGAUGCGGGGAGGGGAACUGUGAUGAUGUUGCUUGGGGUACAGUUCAGAACAGCUUGAGACGGUUCUCAAGCCAGGUCCCCCCAAAAAGAGGAAAGUGGGAGGACCAGCGGCCGAAUCUGAACUGAAAGGAGGUUAGCCAUGGUGAGAGACUGAAGUCUUCAGCAGAAUUUCAUAAGAUCUUUAACAGCGUUUCAGGGGUGGUAUGAGUGAAAAUGACUUAAUAGUAGAUGGUAUACAGAGUUAGCAACAUCCUCGUGAUAAAAUUGCAGUCCAGUAUAAGCUUGACUGAAUGGGGAGUUAGACAGGUUUCGUGGCAAGGUGAGUUUUGUUCUCGACAAAGGAAUGUGACGACCAUGUAAAUUUAAAUCGACUACUAGGUUAUGACACCUGCUCCCGUCUGAGUUCAAAGUUUCUGGUCAUUCAGCUGCGUACAGGGGUUGAACUCAUGAAGUCUUUGAUGGUCUGACUGUUCCUUUUGGCCUGACGUGUUCAUAUGUUCCAUAAAUCAAGGAAGAGAAGCCUGAAGAGAGUCCUGCGUAGUCCCCCCCAAAAAUAAAAAUUGAGCAACAGGCAGGACCAAAGUUAGUCUCAGCAGUAGGGGUGGCGCCCGAACAAAGAACACGGACACCAGAUGGGAUGCAAACGGCAGGCGGAGAGAAGCGUUGACUGAAGAAUGCAUCACGGUCCGUCGACAUAUAGGACAUUUUGGGGGCCCCCUCCUGGAGGCGCAAAAUGGUUUAGUCCGCCCGAUAGCUACCGGCUUCAGGUGUACCAUCAGUGAGCCCAGAUUUAAAGACCUGGGGGCUAGAGGCAUCCUGCUGCCCAAAGCAAGAAAUCAGGUUAUCGAAAGAAAGGAAGGAAAAAGAAAGAAGGCAGAAAGAGGGCAAGCAGCUGAUGGUGGCUUUCUUUCCCGAAGGUAAACCGAGUUUGCUUGUUAAGCAAAAGUCCAAUUAAAGUAAAUGUAGUUCACUCCAGACAUUUGCUGCUGAUAUUUUAUGCUCGCAUUAGCUUAACUAGUUGCCAAACAGGUAAAAGACAUUGAGCCUCCUAACGUAAGAUAUCAACAUUAACCAGUUUAUAAACAAACAGUGGAUAACUGUUAAUUGUUAAAUAACUGAUCUCGAUUUUAAUCAAAAGGGCCCAGAAUUUGCUGCUACGCCCCUGGGUCCGCCUCGCCGGCAGUGAUCGAGGUAACAGAGAAAAGAAUCGAGGGAACAGAAAGGAGCCAUAGCGGCCCUUAACAGAAAAUAUACAUUAGUAAAGCCGAGCGUAGGGGUCCGCCUCGUCGGCAGUGAUGGAGGUAACAGAGAAAAGAAUAGAGGUAAGAGAAAGAAUAGAGGGCAGAAAAGAGAGCCGCCGCGUUCCUUUAAAAUAAAUGUACAUUAGUAAAGCCGAGCGUAGGGGUCCGCCUCGCUGGCAUUGAUAGAGGUAACGGAGAAAAGAAAUAAAUGUACACAGUAAAGCCGAGCGUAGGGGUCCGCCUCGCUGGCAUUGAUAGAGGUAACAGAGAAAAGAAAUAAAUGUACAUAGUAAAGCCGAGCGUAGGGGUCCGCCUCGCUGGCAUUGAUAGAGGAAACAGAGAAAAGAAAUAAAUGUACAUAGUAAAGCCGAGCGUAGGGGUCCGCCUCGCUGGCAUUGAUAGAGGAAACAGAGAAAAGAAAUAAAUGUACAUAGUAAAGCCGAGCGUAGGGGUCCGCCUCGCUGGCAUUGAUAGAGGAAACAGAGAAAAGAAAUAAAUGUACAUAGUAAAGCCGAGCGUAGGGGUCCGCCUCGCUGGCAUUGAUAGAGGUAACAGAGAAAAGAAAUAAAUGUACAUAGUAAAGCCGAGCGUAGGGGUCCGCCUCGCUGGCAUUGAUAGAGGUAACAGAGAAAAGAAAUAACUGUACACAGUAAAGCCGAGCGUAGGGGUCCGCCUCGCUGGCAUUGAAAGAGGUAACAGAGAAAAGAAAUAAAUGUACACAGUAAAGCCGAGCGUAGGGGUCCGCCUCGCUGGCAUUGAUAGAGGUAACAGAGAAAAGAAUCGAUGUAACGGAAAGAAUAGAGGGCAGAAAAGAGAGCCGUCACCUUCCUUCAUGGUAAAAGUACGUAGUAAAGCCGGGCGUAGGGUUCCGCCUAGCCGGCUGGAAUCGAGGAAACAAUUAAUCAAAUUGAGGGAACAAUAAAUUUAAAUCUGUGAAACAAUGAAAUAAGAUUAAGGGAACAAUGAAAUAAAUUGAGGGAACAACAAAAAUAAAGGAAACAAUGAAUACAAAUGAGGAAUCGAAUUAAAGGAAACAAAAAGUAAAUAGAGGGAAACAACAAAUUAAAUCUAAAUGUGAAUUAGAAUGACGGAACGAUGAGUAAAUCGAGGGAACAAUAAAUUAGAGGGAACAAUAAAAUAAAUCAAACAUUGAAAUAGAUCGGGAACAGUGGAAUAAAUCGAGGAAACAAAUUAAAUAGAGGGAACGAUAAAUAAAUCGAACAGAGAAAUAGACCGAGGAAACUGAGAAAUAGAUCUAGUUAACAAUGAGCAGAUGGAAACAAUUAAAUAGAGGGAACAAUUAAAUCGAACUGAGAAAAGAUCGAGGGAACUGAGAAAUAGACCGAGGUAACGAUGAGCGGAGGAAAACAAUUAAAUAGAGGGAACAAUAAAUUCAAACGAACAAGAAAUAAAUCGAGGGAACUGAGAAAUAGACCGAGGUAACAAUUAAAUAGAGGGAAUGAUAAAUUAAAUCGAACGAAGGAACUGAGAAAUAGACCGAGCCAACACUGAGAAGAAACGAUUAAAUUGAACAGAGAAAUAGAUUGAGGGAACUGAGAAAAAGACCGAGCUAACAAUGAGCAGAGGGAAACAAUUAAAUAGAGGGAACAAUGAAUUAAAUCAAACAGACAUAGAUCGAGGAAACUGAAAGAUCGAGGAAACAGUGAAAGAUUGAGACAACCGUGAAAUAAAUUAAGGGAAAAUUAAUAAAGGGAACAAUUAAAUAAAUAGAGAGAACAAAA